rnacentral:rRNA from 1 species
GACGAACGCUGGCGGCGUGCUUAACACAUGCAAGUCGAACGAGUGGCGAACGGGUGAGUAAUACGUGAGUAACCUGCCCUCUUUUUGGGAUAAGCCUUGGAAACGGGUUCUAAUACCGGCUAACGGGGGAUGGGCUAGUGGCCUAUCAGCUUGUUGGUGGGGUGAUGGCCUACCAAGGCGGUGACGGGUAGCCGGGCUGAGGGGGUGAACGGGCACAUGGAGACUGAGAUACCGCCCAGAGUCCGACGGGAGGCAGCAGAGUGCGAUAUGGCACAAAGGGCGAAAGCCUGAUGCAGCGACGACGCGUGGGGGAUGAGGGCUUUAAAGUUGUAAACCUCUUUCGCAAUCGAACGGGUAGGUGGAGAAGAAGCACCGGCUAACUACGUGCCAGCAGCCGCGGUAAUAC